GGGUACGUCCACCACGGGCCAUCUUCUCCAGUCCAGGCCCCGGCUGGAGAUAGGGCACCAGCCGCCAGGCUUCGGAGGCUGACGUGCGGGCAGGCCUCUCUCUGCUGGAAUCCAGGCCUUCCUGAGAUAUGGGCUCAGCCUCUGGUCCCUGUCGGUGGCGCCCAGGACCCACAGGUCUCCAUGCUGAGGACAGAGGGCUGGAGUCAGAACCUUGCCUCCUCCACUGAUGGCCGUCGUGACUUCAGGAGGCAGGACACGCAGUACCUGCCCUCCCCGGCCCUCUGAGGCCGAGAGAGGGAAACGCCUCCCGCAAAUCACCCCAAAGUCCCGCCCGCCCUUCUCCACAGCUGCGUCCUGCGCCCCGGGGUGAAGGGGCCUUGGUUCCUUUGGCCCCGCUCCCGCACGUGGGUGCCCUGGGGCUCGGGAUAUCCGGCGAUGGCAGGCAGCCGAGUGUGAACCCCCUCGUGUGGCUCGCGGACGACGGGAGGCGGCUCUUCAGCGUAAAGUCCCGGAAGCCAGGUGGCUGGUUUGGAGGCAGAAAGAGAGAGCACAAGCAGGGGGAACGGCAGGCAG